rnacentral:rRNA from 1 species
UAUGGAAUCUUCCACAAUGGGCGCAAGCCUGAUGGAGCAACACCUCGUGAGUGAAGAAGGGUUUCGGCUCGUAAAGCUCUGUUGUUGGAGAAGAACGUGCGUGAGAGUAACUGUUCACGCAGUGACGGUAUCCAACCAGAAAGUCACGGCUAACUACUUCGCCUCAGCCGCGGUAAUACGUAGGUGGCAAGCGUUAUCCGGAUUUAUUGGGCGUAAAGCGAGCGCAGGCGGUUGCGUAGGUCUGAUGUGAAAGCCUUCGGCUUAACCGAAGAAGUGCAUCGGAAACCGGGCGACUUGAGUGCAGAAGAGGACAGGGGAACUCCAUGUGUAGCGGUGGAAUGCGUAGAUAUAUGGAAGAACACCAGUGGCGAAGGCGGCUGUCUGGUCUGCAACUGACGCUGAGGCUCGAAAGCAUGGGUAGCGAACAGG